rnacentral:rRNA from 1 species
UGUUGUUUUUCUGAAAAUCAAUUUAAGAACUGUUCAUUUUUAGUUGUUAAGACUUUAUCGGCUUACUGCUAUUUUUUGGGCUUUUCUUGAAUGCACUUUUCAGUUAACAAGUCAACAUCAAUUUCUUUUGUUGUAAAACGGUAAAAGGAAGGUGGCUUUAUCUUCGGAUGAAGUGUUUAUAGCCUUUUACUUCUGCAAUCGGAGAGAUCGAGGUCUGCAGCGUAGAUCCUUCGGGGUUAGAUACUUCUAUGCUAAGCUAUAGUCCUAUAUAGACAACUUGUUGACUAUGUUCGAUCCUGUAACUUACUCGUAGAUACUAUUUUACCUAC